CUAGCAUUCAAUAAGCGGAGGAAAAGAAACCAACAGGGAUUGCCCUAGUAACGGCGAGUGAAGCGGCAACAGCUCAAAUUUGAAAUCUGGCGUCUUUGGCGUCCGAGUUGUAAUUUGCAGAGGGCGCUUUGGUAUUGGCAGCGGUCCAAGUUCCUUGGAACAGGACGUCACAGAGGGUGAGAAUCCCGUACGUGGUCGCUAACCUUUACCGUGUAAAGCCCCUUCGACGAGUCGAGUUGUUUGGGAAUGCAGCUCUAAAUGGGAGGUAAAUUUCUUCUAAAGCUAAAUACUGGCCAGAGACCGAUAGCGCACAAGUAGAGUGAUCGAAAGAUGAAAAGCACUUUGGAAAGAGAGUUAAAAAGCACGUGAAAUUGUUGAAAGGGAAGCGCUUGCAGCCAGACUUGCUUGUAGUUGCUCAUCCGGGUUUUUACCCGGUGCACUCUUCUAUAAGCAGGCCAGCAUCAGUUUGGGCGGUUGGAUAAAGGUCUCUGUCAUGUACCUCUCUUCGGGGAGAACUUAUAGGGGAGACGACAUGCAACCAGCCUGGACUGAGGUCCGCGCAUCUGCUAGGAUGCUGGCGUAAUGGCUGUAAGCGGCCCGUCUUGAAACACGGACCAAGGAGUCUAACAUCUAUGCGAGUGUUUGGGUGUCAAGCCCGAGCGCGUAAUGAAAGUGAACGGAGGUGGGAACCUUUCGGGGUGCACCAUCGACCGAUCCUGAUGUCUUCGGAUGGAUUUGAGUAAGAGCAUAGCUGUUGGGACCCGAAAGAUGGUGAACUAUGCUUGAAUAGGGUGAAGCCAGAGGAAACUCUGGUGGAGGCUCGCAGCGGUUCUGACGUGCAAAUCGAUCGUCAAAUUUGGGCAUAGGGGCGAAAGACUAAUCGAACUAUCUAGUAGCUGGUUCCUUGCCGAAUUUCCCCCUCAAGGAAA
rnacentral:rRNA from 1 species